ensembl:lncRNA
GAAAAUGCAUGAAUAGAGAGGUUUUUUUACUUAGAACUUCAGAAGCACUCUGCAACAUCACACAGGGGAAGAACCACAGACCUGCGUUUUCGUACAUUAUAUUUGUGUAUUAUACGUUUAUUCACAUCUUUGUCUUUCAUCCACCAUCAUAACCAGCCAUGAGGGCAUCGUUGAUAUUUCUAUUUGUGAUACUGAUGGGUGACCAAAGUCAAUGCCAAAGUGGGGAUUAUGAAAUUGAAUACGAACAUGAACCGGGUCCAGACAUCCUGGGACUGAUCAAACAGACUGCACUGGGCAAGGAAAUCAGUGACAAGAUCUCAGAGAGUGUGGAUGCAAUCAAUCAAUAUGCCCAAGCCGUGGGAAGCAAGGCCCAGUCUAUGUUUGAUAACCUGGGUCGUCAAGCUGAACGUGAAGCCAUGUUUGCCAAACAAGAUAUCCAGAACAACGCCAUUGCUGCUGUCCAGAACGUCCACGGCCGGCUAACGCAGAGUGCUGGGGACAUGCGGCUGAAGACUGAGUCACUCAUCGAGGCGGUUGCACACUCCCUGCAGAUUCAUCUUCACGUGUUUUGGGAGUCACUGACAAAAGGAAAUGAAACACACCCUCUGUUCCAGUGAGAUGCCCAAUGCCAGUGUGAUGGAGGCCCAUGAGUGUGCAUGUCAAUCUUACCUAGAUUAGGUGGGCCAUACCCGCUUAAUACUAUUUAUGAUGUGAAUGAUAAUCUUGCUCUCUCAUUUUUAUCACAACAAAUUCAUCUAGCAGCAGUUUUUCAUUGCUGUUUGUAUUCCUCAAUAACUGAAUGGAGUGUUAAGAGUUGAAUGCUAAGUACACAGAGUGCAAUAAACUCUACUCUCAAACUGUACUCUCAUACUGUUCAUUUAUUAUCUGUUCAUUUAGGCUUCCGCUGAACUACAGAGGCAAAAACAGUAGGCCAGUAUUACUGGGAGUGGACUUUCUUCGGUGCACUAUGGAGCUUCAUGGCUAAAGAUAUGUUACACAACGCUUCAAGAAAUCAUGCAGUUGCAACUACGACUCCGCUCACACAGGUAAGAUUCAUCCACAGAGCUGUGAGCUUCUCUACUCAGCGUUCCAUUUUGAGCAUGUCACACUUUCUUCUCUCUCCCAAGGAUUGAAGAGUUGCGAUGAAGGUGUCGGCAGCAGUUGUGCUGGUUUUGAUCAGUGCGGCUUGCCAUGGCUAUGAGGAGCAUGUGGCCCUGGAGAACAGCCUAUUAGAAGCCUGGGGACUGGACGAGACUGACCCCUGGGAUUCCCUGAGGGGGUUAGGGGCUGAGGUGCACCGAGCAUUUACACAUGCAUUGGCCGGUGAUGUCAGGAACGAGAUCUCUGGGGGGGUUGACACGGCCGUCCGCUUUGGGAUGUCCAUGUUGAACGACGCAAGAGAUACGGGGGAGAGCGUGUGGGAGCAGAUCUCGGAGGAGGCGGAAAAGCUGGCCAGUCAGCUGGAGGAGGACAUGAGCCGCCGGUUGGAGGCCAUCGAGAGUCACGCCGAGGCCUACACUCAGGAGGCGCGCAGGAAGAUCGACCAGAAUCUACUGGAGAUCCAGAAGAACACCAUCCCUGUGGUCCAGACCUUCCAGGGCCAGCUGGCCCAGACGGCGCUGAAUAUCCGCACGAGCGCCGAGUUCUUUAUCGGAGAGUUUGCGUCACUCUGGGAACCUGCUCUACAACAAGAUUAAGCUCGCUGCUUAGAUUUUUUCCUUAGUGUAGAAGCUCAGCGAUACUGUAUUUUUACGGAGAUCAUGCUAUGGCUUGAUGUUGCCUUGUUUGAAUCCCAGACACUUUACUAUUAGAAGAGAUUAUCUUUGCAGUAUUCAGAAUCAUGUGUCAAUAAAGGGC